rnacentral:rRNA from 1 species
UUGCCCUAGUAACGGCGAGUGAAGCGGCAACAGCUCAAAUUUGAAAUCUGGCUCUCGGGCCCGAGUUGUAAUUUGUAGAGGAUACUUUUGAUGCGGUGCCUUCCGAGUUCCCUGGAACGGGACGCCAUAGAGGGUGAGAGCCCCGUCUGGUUGGAUGCCAAAUCUCUGUAAAGUUCCUUCAACGAGUCGAGUAGUUUGGGAAUGCUGCUCUAAAUGGGAGGUAUAUGUCUUCUAAAGCUAAAUACCGGCCAGAGACCGAUAGCGCACAAGUAGAGUGAUCGAAAGAUGAAAAGCACUUUGAAAAGAGAGUUAAAAAGUACGUGAAAUUGUUGAAAGGGAAGCGUUUAUGACCAGACUUGGGCUUGGUUAAUCAUCUGGGGUUCUCCCCAGUGCACUUUUCCAGUCCAGGCCAGCAUCAGUUUUCCCCGGGGGAUAAAGGCGGCGGGAAUGUGGCUCUCUUCGGGGAGUGUUAUAGCCCACCGUGUAAUACCCUGGGGGGGACUGAGGUUCGCGCAUCUGCAAGGAUGC